rfam:Streptomyces sp. HGB0020 genomic scaffold aczIR-supercont1.2, whole genome shotgun sequence.
GGCCAAGUUUUUAAGGGCGCACGGUGGAUGCCUUGGCACCAGGAACCGAUGAAGGACGUGGGAGGCCACGAUAGGCCCCGGGGAGUCGUCAACCAGGCUUUGAUCCGGGGGUGUCCGAAUGGGGAAACCCGGCAGUCGUCAUGGGCUGUCACCCGCUGCUGAACACAUAGGCAGUGUGGAGGGAACGCGGGGAAGUGAAACAUCUCAGUACCCGCAGGAAGAGAAAACAACCGUGAUUCCGGGAGUAGUGGCGAGCGAAACCGGAUGAGGCCAAACCGUAUGCGUGUGAGACCAGGCAGGGGUUGCGCAUGCGGGGUUGUGGGAUCUCUUGUCCAUGGUCUGCCGGCCAUGAGGCGAGUGAGAAACCGUUGAUGUAGGCGAAGGACAUGCGAAAGGUCCGGCGUAGAGGGUAAGACCCCCGUAGUCGAAACGUCAGCGGCUCGUUGGAGAGACACCCAAGUAGCACGGGGCCCGAGAAAUCCCGUGUGAAUCUGGCGGGACCACCCGCUAAGCCUAAAUAUUCCCUGGUGACCGAUAGCGGAUAGUACCGUGAGGGAAUGGUGAAAAGUACCCCGGGAGGGGAGUGAAAUAGUACCUGAAACCGUGUGCCUACAAGCCGUGGGAGCGUCGCGUUGAGUGCUUGCACUCAACGUCGUGACUGCGUGCCUUUUGAAGAAUGAGCCUGCGAGUUUGCGGUGUGUUGCGAGGUUAACCCGGGUGGGGUAGCCGUAGCGAAAGCGAGUCCGAACAGGGCGGUGGAGUAGCACGCUCAAGACCCGAAGCGGAGUGAUCUAGCCAUGGGCAGGUUGAAGCGGCUGUAAGAGGUCGUGGAGGACCGAACCCACCAGGGUUGAAAACCUGGGGGAUGACCUGUGGUUAGGGGUGAAAGGCCAAUCAAACUCCGUGAUAGCUGGUUCUCCCCGAAAUGCAUUUAGGUGCAGCGUCGUGUGUUUCUUGCCGGAGGUAGAGCACUGGAUAGGCGAUGGGCCCUACCGGGUUACUGACCUUAGCCAAACUCCGAAUGCCGGUAAGUGAGAGCGCGGCAGUGAGACUGUGGGGGAUAAGCUCCAUGGUCGAGAGGGAAACAGCCCAGAGCAUCGACUAAGGCCCCUAAGCGUACGCUAAGUGGGAAAGGAUGUGGAGUCGCAGAGACAACCAGGAGGUUGGCUUAGAAGCAGCCACCCUUGAAAGAGUGCGUAAUAGCUCACUGGUCUAGUGAUUCCGCGCCGACAAUGUAGCGGGGCUCAAGCGUACCGCCGAAGUCGUGUCAUUGCAGCAACACUCCCAACGGAGGCUGUGAUGGGUAGGGGAGCGUCGUCUGCCGGGUGAAGCAGCCGCGUAAGCGAGUUGUGGACGGUUGACGAGUGAGAAUGCAGGCAUGAGUAGCGAUUCACACGUGAGAAACGUGUGCGCCGAUUGACUAAGGGUUCCUGGGUCAAGCUGAUCUGCCCAGGGUAAGUCGGGACCUAAGGCGAGGCCGACAGGCGUAGUCGAUGGAUAACCGGUUGAUAUUCCGGUACCCGCUGUGAAGCGUCAAACAUCGAAUCCAGUGAUGCUAAGGCCGUGAAGCCGCCGGUUGAGUCUUCGGACGAGGUCGGAGUGGUGGAGCCGCUGACCCAAGUUGGUAGUAGGUGAGUGAUGGGGUGACGCAGGAAGGUAGUCCAGCCCGGGCGGUGGUUGUCCCGGGGUAAGGGUGUAGCCCGAGUGGUAGGCAAAUCCGCCACUCAUCAUGGGUGAGACCUGAUGCCGAGCCGAUUGUGGUGAAGUGGAUGAUCCUAUGCUGUCGAGAAAAGCCUCUAGCGAGUUUCAUGGCGGCCCGUACCCUAAACCGACUCAGGUGGUCUGGUAGAGAAUACCGAGGCGUUCGGGUGAACUAUGGUUAAGGAACUCGGCAAAAUGCCCCCGUAACUUCGGGAGAAGGGGGGCCACACCCGGUGAGAGGACGUGCUCCUUGAGCUGGGGGUGGCCGCAGAGACCAGCGAGAAGCGACUGUUUACUAAAAACACAGGUCCGUGCGAAGCCGUAAGGCGAUGUAUACGGACUGACGCCUGCCCGGUGCUGGAACGUUAAGGGGACCGGUUAGUCACUCUUCGGGGUGGCGAAGCUGAGAACUUAAGCGCCAGUAAACGGCGGUGGUAACUAUAACCAUCCUAAGGUAGCGAAAUUCCUUGUCGGGUAAGUUCCGACCUGCACGAAUGGCGUAACGACUUCUCGACUGUCUCAACCAUAGGCCCGGUGAAAUUGCACUACGAGUAAAGAUGCUCGUUUCGCGCAGCAGGACGGAAAGACCCCGGGACCUUUACUACAGUUUGAUAUUGGUGUUCGGUUCGGCUUGUGUAGGAUAGCUGGGAGACUUUGAAACGCGGACGCCAGUUCGUGUGGAGUCGUCGUUGAAAUACCAGUCUGGUCGUGCUGGAUGUCUAACCUGGGUCCGUGAUCCGGAUCAGGGACAGUGUCUGAUGGGUAGUUUAACUGGGGCGGUUGCCUCCUAAAGGGUAACGGAGGCGCCCAAAGGUUCCCUCAGCCUGGUUGGCAAUCAGGUGUUGAGUGUAAGUGCACAAGGGAGCUUGACUGUGAGACCGACGGGUCGAGCAGGGACGAAAGUCGGGACUAGUGAUCCGGCGGUGGCUUGUGGAAGCGCCGUCGCUCAACGGAUAAAAGGUACCCCGGGGAUAACAGGCUGAUCUUCCCCAAGAGUCCAUAUCGACGGGAUGGUUUGGCACCUCGAUGUCGGCUCGUCGCAUCCUGGGGCUGGAGUCGGUCCCAAGGGUUGGGCUGUUCGCCCAUUAAAGCGGUACGCGAGCUGGGUUUAGAACGUCGUGAGACAGUUCGGUCCCUAUCCGCUGUGCGCGUAGGAGUCUUGAGAAGGGCUGUCCCUAGUACGAGAGGACCGGGACGGACGAACCUCUGGUGUGCCAGUUGUUCUGCCAAGGGCAUGGCUGGUUGGCUACGUUCGGGAGGGAUAACCGCUGAAAGCAUCUAAGCGGGAAGCCUGCUUCGAGAUGAGGACUCCCACCUACAUAAGAGGGUAAGGCUCCCAGUAGACGACUGGGUUGAUAGGCCGGAUCUGGAAGCCAGGUAACUGGUGGAGGUGACCGGUACUAAUAGGCCGAGGGCUUGUCCUC